GCCUGGCUGGCUCAGUGGGAAGAGCAUGAGACCCUUGAUCUCAGGGUCAUGAGUUCGAGCCCCAUGUUGGGUG
rfam:Mustela putorius furo unplaced genomic scaffold scaffold00024, whole genome shotgun sequence.